rnacentral:lncRNA from 1 species
CAUACACACACACACACACACACACACACAACUUCCCCUCUUCCACAGCCCCAGAUAAACAGUGGUUUGAUGCUGUCUUAUGAAAUCCAUGCUCCACGCCACAGAGGGGAACACAGGUUAUGGGGUGAAAGGCCACUGGCCUUGGUGUCAGAGACCAGGGCUUCCCCCAUCUGCUUCUGCUACUUACUGACUGUGGGACCUUCUAGGGUACUGCUUAACCUCCCUCCACUGUGUCUCUUCACCUGUAAAAUGGGACCCUAAUGACAUCUACUUCCUGGACUCUUGUUCUGAGUGUCCAAGAACAUGCUACAUGGAAUGGCAGAACAGACACCAGUGGGUGCUCAGGCCAUGCCAGUUUCUUUAGCCAGGAGGAGAGCACAACCAAGAGCCAGGAUGAACAGUGAGACAUGUGGCUAGGACAAGGCAAGCAGAGGGUCUGGGCCAGCGGGGAGGUGGUCAGGAGAGAGGAGUCCAGCCAGUGGGAAUCUGAGCAUGUUUUCUAACUUGAGUGAGCCAGGUGGCUCCCACAGAGGAAAUUUUACAGAAAGAAGAAUAUUGGCCAGAGCCAGAGCUACUUCCAGUGGGGGGCCUUUGGUCAAGCUGAGCCCUAAGGUGACAACCGGCCCUGAUGGCAAGGGGCUUGAUUAGGAAAUGAAGGAGCCAAUUAUGGAUCCCAACACAGAAGACAAGAUGAUUGUUAUGGUUUGGAUGUGAGAUGUCCCCCAAAAGCUCACGUGUGAGAGAGACAAUGCAAGAAGUUUCAGAGAACUGAUGGGGUUUUAAGAGUCUUAACCCAAUCGGUGCAUUAAUUCCCUGAGAGGGAUUAACUGAGUGGUAACUCAAGUGGUAGUGUGUGGCUGGAGGAAGUGGGCAUUGGGGCAUGGCUUUGGGUAUGUAUUUGUAUCUGGCAAGUGGAGACCUCACUCUAUGCCUACUGAUCAUGAUGUGAACUGCUUCCUUCUGCCUCCAUGAUGUCCUGCCUCACCUUGAGCCCUG